rnacentral:lncRNA from 1 species
UCUAGUGCAAUUAAGCCCUAACAUAACUAAAGGGAACUGCGUCUGACAACUUAACAAGAUUAUCUUCGGUCGAAGCCACAGAUAAGUCCACAAAAUGUUAUCCCCGGUUCUUGAUUCAAGAAAUUCAAUCCAAGCCUCGACUCCCACGGGUAACGAGAAUUUAUCCAAACGCAACCUGGAGUCCAUGGCUUUCACUCGAUUGGGAAUACAACGAUCUAACACGUCUGGUCUAACUAAAGAAGGCGCAUGCAAAUGCUCUAUUAUCCAUAUCUGCAAUAUCAGGUUACUGUCC